UACGAGGGCCCCAAGCGUUAUCCGGAUUUAUUGGGCGUAAAGCGUCCGUAGGUGGUUUAUCGCAUCUCCUGUUAAAUCCCGAGGCUCAACCUCGGAUCAGCGGGAGAGAUGGAUAAGCUAGAGACCGGAAGAGGCAAACGGAAUUGCUGGUGUAGGGGUUAAAUCCAUUAAUAUCAGCAAGAACACCAAAUGCGAAGGCAGUUUGCUAGGACGGUUCUGACACUCAGUGGACGAAAGCGUGGGGAGCGAAUGGG
rnacentral:rRNA from 1 species